rnacentral:rRNA from 1 species
GAUGAACGCUGGCGGCGUGCCUAAUACAUGCAAGUCGAGCGAACGGAUGAGAAGCUUGCUCCUUUGAUGUUAGCGGCGGACGGGUGAGUAACACGUGGAUAACCUACCUAUAAGACUGGGAUAACUUCGGGAAACCGGAGCUAAUACCGGAUGAUAUUUUGAACCGCAUGGUUCAAAAGUGAAAGACGGUCUUGCUGUCACUUAUAGAUGGACCCGCGCUGCAUUAGCUAGUUGGUAAGGUAACGGCUUACCAAGGCAACGAUGCAUAGCCGACCUGAGAGGGUGAUCGGCCACACUGGAACUGAGACACGGUCCAGACUCCUACGGGAGGCAGCAGUAGGGAAUCUUCCGCAAUGGGCGAAAGCCUGACGGAGCAACGCCGCGUGAGUGAUGAAGGUCUUCGGAUCGUAAAACUCUGUUAUUAGGGAAGAACAUAUGUGUAAGUAACUGUGCACAUCUUGACGGUACCUAAUCAGAAAGCCACGGCUAACUACGUG